GAACGAGGAUAUAUCCUUCGGGAUAUAAGCCGAGUGGCGCAAGGGUGAGUAAUGCAUAGAUUACCUGCCUCUAGGAUAAGGACAACUUUGUGAAAACGAAGCUAAUACUUAAUAAUACAAAUGGAAAUAAUUUUCUUUUGUCAAUGGGAGGGUAGCAAUACCUUUUGCCUGGAGAGGGGUUUAUGUCCUAUCAGCUUGUUGGUGGGGUAAUGGCCUACCAAGGCGAAGACGGGUAGCCGGUCUUAGAGGAUGGUCGGCCACACUGGGACUGAGACACUGCCCAGACUUCUACGGAAGGCUGCAGUCGAGAAUCUUUCGCAAUGCCCGAAAGGGUGACGAAGCGACGCCGCGUGAGUGAGGAAGGCCUUCGGGUUGUAAAGCUCUGUCAGGAGUUAAGAAAUAUAAGUGUGUUAAUACCGCAUUUAUUUGACGAAGGCUCCAAAGGAAGCCACGGCUAACUCUGUGCCAGCAGCCGCGGUAAUACAGAGGUGGCAAGCGUUGUUCGGAAUUAUUGGGCGUAAAGAGCACGUAGGUGGGUUUGUAAGUCAGAUGUGAAAGCCUUCUGUUCAACGGAAGAAUUGCAUCUGAAACUGCGAGUCUUGAGUGUAGGAGGGGAGAAUGGAACUUCUGGUGGAGCGGUGAAAUGCGUAGAUAUCAGAAGGAACGCCGGCGGCGAAAGCGAUUCUCUGGCCUAUUACUGACACUCAGUGUGCGAAAGCUAGGGGAGCAAACGGGAUUAGAUACCCCGGUAGUCCUAGCCGUAAACGAU
rnacentral:rRNA from 1 species